UGCCAGAUAGCACAACGGCAGUGCAGCGCCCUGUUAAGGCGAGGGUUGGAGGUUCGAAUCCUCCUCUGGCAG
rnacentral:tRNA from 1 species